rnacentral:rRNA from 1 species
AUUGAACGCUGGCGGCAGGCUUAACACAUGCAAGUCGAGCGGGGGAAGGUAGCUUGCUACCGGACCUAGCGGCGGACGGGUGAGUAAUGCUUAGGAAUCUGCCUAUUAGUGGGGGACAACAUCUCGAAAGGGAUGCUAAUACCGCAUACGUCCUACGGGAGAAAGCAGGGGAUCUUCGGACCUUGCGCUAAUAGAUGAGCCUAAGUCGGAUUAGCUAGUUGGUGGGGUAAAGGCCUACCAAGGCGACGAUCUGUAGCGGGUCUGAGAGGAUGAUCCGCCACACUGGGACUGAGACACGGCCCAGACUCCUACGGGAGGCAGCAGUGGGGAAUAUUGGACAAUGGGGGGAACCCUGAUCCAGCCAUGCCGCGUGUGUGAAGAAGGCCUUAUGGUUGUAAAGCACUUUAAGCGAGGAGGAGGCUACUUUAGUUAAUACCUAGAGAUAGUGGACGUUACUCGCAGAAUAAGCACCGGCUAACUCUGUGCCAGCAGCCGCGGUAAUACAGAGGGUGCGAGCGUUAAUCGGAUUUACUGGGCGUAAAGCGUGCGUAGGCGGCUUAUUAAGUCGGAUGUGAAAUCCCCGAGCUUAACUUGGGAAUUGCAUUCGAUACUGGUGAGCUAGAGUAUGGGAGAGGAUGGUAGAAUUCCAGGUGUAGCGGUGAAAUGCGUAGAGAUCUGGAGGAAUACCGAUGGCGAAGGCAGCCAUCUGGCCUAAUACUGACGCUGAGGUAC